rnacentral:lncRNA from 1 species
AUGCACUCAACAUCAGCUGCAGUAAAACAAGGCUGGCUGCAGUUUCUGUAUCACAUGAGCCACUCAUACCAUCAUUGGAUUUACCAAGAUUUUAAAUGUACAGUUGAGGAUUUUGUAAUGGUAAAGGAUGAUAGAUUAGAACUUUUAACCGAAGCAAGCAGACAGAUUUGAAAUGCCAACGUGAACUGUGAGACAGACCUAGAAUGGGUUACGUGACUGCAACCAACGUAGAAAGACUGCACCAGCAGAAAUGGGGAAGGCUCCCACCAGAUUUCUUCAUGAACUCAAUGUGUGCUUCCUGUAGUUGACCCAUAGGUGUGGGGUGGUGGUGGUGGGGUCAAUCUUAAGCAUCACAAAGAGUGUAAAAUAUCUCAUGUUAAUUUUUAUAUUGGUUACUCAUUUAAAUGACAGUUUUGUAUAUCUUGAGUUAAAUAAAAUGCAUUAUUAAAAUUAAUUUCACUUGUUUGUUUUUUACAUUUUUAACGUGGGUACUAGAAAAUGUGAAACUAACCAUGUUGUUAGCAUUUGCUGCUUGCAUUGCAUUUCUAUUGAACAUUACUA